AUGCCGCCCAAGCGCGGGCGGGGCCGCGGGAGGGGCCGGGGCCGCGGGAGGCCGCGCAGGGAGGUCCCCGUCGCGGACGAGGCGAGCGGCGGGUGGGCCGACGACGACCUAGGUCUCCCGGCCACCCCCUCCGACUCGACCGCCGAGGAGCCCAGGCGCGGGCGCGGCAGGGGCGCCCGGGGGAGCCGCGGGCGAGGGCGCGGGCGCGGGCGACGGCCCGCCGUCGAAGCCGAGGAAGACGACGACGCGAAGGAGGUUGAUGAGGAGUUGCCACCGCCUUCUACUGCGGAGAACGGUGUGGACAAGGGCAACGAAGAGAUGCCACCGCAGGAUUCUGCCGAGGAGAAAGACACAGAAGGGGGAACGCAGAACUUGAGACCAGCAAAAAAACGCAAGAGGGAUCCUGUUGCUGACCCCUCUUCACUUGGGCCUAGGCCUGCACGACUUAGGAAGACGCUGAAUCCUCCACCUAAGGAUACAAAAAAGAGAGAUGGAACUUCAAACAUGUGUCAUCAAUGCCAGAGGAAUGACAAUGGAAGAGUCGUGCGAUGUCUGGGCUGCAAAGAAUAUAUGAGGAGAUACUGCAUGCUGUGCAUAAAUCGCUGGUAUCCACAUUUAACAGAAGAUGACUUUGUGAAUAGUUGUCCAUUUUGUCGCAAUAAUUGCAACUGCAAGACUUGUCUGCGGAAAAACAUAAUAAGCAAGGUUGACAAAUGGAAAGUAUCUGAUGAAGAUAAAAUUAAAUUCUCUCAACGAACUAUACACUUUUUGCUCCCAUGGUUGAAAAACUUCCACCAUGAGCAGAUGCAAGAGAGAAGUGUUGAGGCAGCAAUUAAAGGCAUUGAUGCAUGUGAAGUGAAGGUUCCACAAGCUAAUUGUGCAAAAAAUGAGCGGAUAUUCUGUAACAACUGCAGAACAUCUAUAGUUGACUUCCACAGAAGCUGCAAUAAGUGUUCCUAUGAUCUCUGCCUAAUUUGCUGCCGGGAGCUUCGUCUUGGGCGUUGUCCUGGUGCUGCUGCUGCAAGUAUCACGGUCCUUACACAACCUGAGGUAGAAGGCAAGGAAAAUUUGCAACAGACAAGUAGUCAUGAUAAUGCCGUGAGUCAAAAGAUUCCUGAUGGACAGAAUGGCCUGUUGAGGGACGGUGCAGUUCCUGUUGAGGAUAGUGCUGCUGCUGCAAGUAGCAUGGUCCUUGCACAACCUGAGGUAGAAGGCAAGCAAGAUUUGCAACAGACAAGUAGUCAUGAUAACGCUGUGAGUCGAAAGCUUUCUGAUGGACAGAAUGACGUGUUGAUGGACAAUGCAGUUCCUGUUGAGGAUAGUGCUGCUUUGAGUCAAUGGAGGGUAAAUAGUAAUGGAAGCAUACCUUGCCCGCCAGAUACAUUUGGUGGUUGUGGAGAUUCUGUUCUUGAACUUAAGUCAUUGUUGGAGGAGAAUGCUGUUUCUGACUUGUUGGAGAAGGCCAAUGCAGAGGGCAACAAUGAAAGAGUGCUGGAGGUGGGAGGGUCAAAAUGUUCCUGCGUCACUGACUCUGGUGAUGCGACAUCACAGAAAUUGGCUAGUAGAGAGAACUCGAGCGACAACUACAUAUAUUGCCCAAAUGCUAGAGAUGUUCAAAAUGGAGCUUUGGAUCAUUUCCAGGAGCACUGGUUGAAGGGUGAGCCUGUUAUUGUUCGUAACGUGCUUGAAUUAACUUCUGGGUUGAGCUGGGAACCAAUGGUUAUGUGGCGGGCUGUACGAGAAAAGAAAGAGAAGGAUGAACGUGAGCGGCUAUGUGUUACAGCUCUUGAGUGCCUGUCGUGGAUGGAGGUUGAAGUAAACACUCACUUCUUUUUUGAUGGGUAUUCUCGUGGGGCUGUUGGUCCAGAGGGUUUGCCCUUGUUACUCAAGCUUAAGGAUUGGCCACAACACAGCUCAUUUGAGGAGCGAUUGCCACGGCAUGGUGCCGAGUUUGUGUCUGCUUUGCCAUUUCGUGAAUAUACAGAUCAUAAAUCUGGUCCUCUUAAUCUGGCAGUGAAUCUUCCAGAUGACGUCAUAAAGCCAGACCUUGGUCCAAAGACUUACAUUGCAUAUGGCGUUGCUCAGGAAUUAGGAAUUGGUGAUUCGGUCACCAAGAUCCAUUGCGACAUGUCUGAUGCGGUCAAUAUCCUAACACAUACUGAUGAAGUAAAGCUCAAGGCAGAAAGGAUUACAGCGAUUGAGAAAAAGAAAGAGAGUUUGGCCAGAGAAGAAGACAACAGAAAUCUUCAAGCUUCACAAAUAGACCCUGAUUGUGACAUGUCAAUAGCUCUCAGUGAAGGAACUGAACAUGGCUCAGUCAUUGAGCAGGCAUUAUCUGAUGCUCUUUUAGAUGAGCGGCAUGGGGCUCAUCAAGAUGUGGUAGCAGAUGAAGCUGAGGGAAACUUGACUGUGAAUGGGCGAGUGGCCAUUGAAGGUGAAGGGGUUCACAAAGAUGUGGUAACUGAUGAAGCUGAGGGAAGCUUGAUUGUGAAUGGGCGAUCGUCCAUGGAAUGUGAUGUGGAUCAUCCAGAUCUUCCCAUUUCCAAGGAGAUAGCAGAAGACACAGUUAAUGAGAGGGAGGAUGAGGGUAAUGCUUUCAGCAGUGAAAAUAAAAGUGAAUCUCCAGAUAAUACAGGUGCUAUUUUUGAACCUACUGGUCAUCAGACCCGACCCAGACGAAGUGGCGCUCGUUAUUCUAAUUUAUCAGAGAGAGAAAUGAAAGCAAGCAAAGAGAGAAAAAAGAAAGCAAGCACAGAGAGAAAAAAGAAAGCAGGCACAGAAGAUGAGAUGCGUGGAUUUCCCAUAUAUCUUGAGCCAAAAGACGAUGGUCUCCCAUUUGCAGAGGGAAAUCAACCAGAGGGUGGUGCAUUGUGGGAUAUAUUCAGACGGGAAGACGUCAGCAAACUGCAUGAGUAUCUAACAAAGCAUUCAGUGGAGUUUAGGCAUUACAACUAUGAACCAGUGAAGCAGGUUAUUCAUCCUAUACAUGACCAGUGCUUUUACCUAACAGAUGAGCACAAGAGGAAGCUUAAGGAAGAAUAUGGAGUCGAGCCUUGGACAUUUGAACAGAAGCUUGGUGAUGCAGUCUUUAUUCCUGCAGGAUGUCCCCACCAAGUCAGAAAUUUGAAGUCAUGUAUAAAGGUUGCACUUGACUUUGUUUCUCCGGAAAAUGUACAAGAGUGUAUCAGGCUGACAGAAGAGUUCCGUCUGCUUCCAAAAGGGCAUAGGGUGAAUGAAGAUAAGCUAGAGGUUAAGAAGAUAGCUUUUCAUGCAAUCAAAAGAGCCAUUCAUGAUUUCAACAAAAAACCUGGCGACAAAAGCUCUGAUGAUGAAGGUCAAGAUAAAACUGGACGUGGUUUGAGAAAAAGAAAAUCUGUUCUGAAAAAAGGAAAACCUGGUCGUCCGAAAAGAGGAAAACCUGGUCCAAGUGAACCUGCAGAACCAGAGGAGCACGAAGAACAAUCAGCUCAGGAAAUGUCCCCAGCUGAAGAUGAAGGUGCAGAAAUGGAGUCAGACCAGGGACAAUCGGCUCUGGACAUGUCUAAAGUGAAACCUGGUGCAAGUGUCCGGCGUGGUUUGAGAAAAAGAAAACCUGGUCGUCCGAAAAAAGGGAAACCUGGUCGUCCAAAAAAAGGAAAACCUAGUCCAAGUGAACCUGCAGAACCAGAGGAGCAAGAAGAGGAAUCAGCUCAGGAAAUGUUUCCAGUUGAAGACGAAGGUGCGGAAAUGGAGGCGGACCAAGGACAAUCAGCUCUGGGCAUGUCUGAAGCGAAAGAUGGACCUGCAGAAAUGGAGGAGCAACAGGAACAGUCAGCUCUGGGCAUGUCUGAACCUAAAGAUGAACCCGCAGAAAUGGAGGAGCACCAGGAACAGUCAGCUCAGGACAUGUGUGGACCUAAAGAUGAGCCUGCAGAGAUGGAGGAGCGCCAAGAACAAUCAGCUCUGGACAUGACCGAAGCUGAAGACAAACGUGUAGAAAUGGAGGUUCACCAAGAACAACAGUCAGCUCUAGAUAUGUCUGAAGAUGAAGGCGGAGCUGCAGAAAUGAAGGGGCACCAGGGCAAGUCAGCUGAGGACGUGCCUGAAUUGAAAGAUGGAGCUGCAGAAAUGGAGGUCACGCCUGAACCUGCCAAAGAGGAGCCUGCAGAAAUGGAGGAGGGCCACAAGCGACCAGCUGAUGGCAUCCAUGAAGCUAAAGAAGAUCCUGCAGAGGCGCAUGCGCAGCAGGCUCAGGCUACCAUGCCUAGAAUGGCAUGA
rnacentral:rRNA from 1 species